GUUGAUAACUAUGAAAAGUUAAGUCAGAGAAGAACAGAAAGAAGAGAGAACCCCUAAUGGCCUAACCAACGUCCAAACUUCUUGAUAUUCAAUUAACAAUCAAGCGAGCUUUCCAUGUUCCUCAAACACAUAUGCCAAAUAUAACACAAUCAAAUGGCCUCUGACAUUCAAGAACCACCUAAAGUCAGGUAGUUCGACCAGCAUUCCCAAUCUUCAGUAAGUUUUCAGUAUCUACUGAAUCCAUCAACUUGCCAAAUAUCAAAAAUAUCAUUGAAGGCAAAUCAAAGAAAGAAAUAAAUCUAUCAAUUUUUUCUGCUAAUCCUAUGAUGGGCUUUCAACAGAGUUAAAAAAAAUGAUGUCUGAUUGCAUAGCAUCAACAAGACUUCAAGUGCAGAACUGGGGGUGCAUUCAUUUGUUCAGCUUCCAAACACAUCUUACCAACUCACUCAUAAUAAAUUCCAAUUAUCCCUGCAGGUUUAUAAAUCAACUUCGAAGAUGCAAUCAGUCAUAUAAAUUACCAGUUUU